GAUGAAGAACGAAGUGAAAUGCGAUAAGUAAUGUGAAUUGCAGAAUUCAGUGAAUCAUCGAAUCUUUGAACGCACAUUGCGCCCGCCAGUAUUCUGGCGGGCAUGCCUGUUCGAGCGUCAUUUCAACCAUCAAGCCCUGCUUGCGUUGGGGUCCUGCGGCUGCCCGCAGGCCCUGAAAACCAGUGGCGGGCUCGCUAGUCACACCGAGCGCAGUAAUACAUCUCGCUUUGGGCGUGCGGCGGGUUCUUGCCGUUAAACACCCCCUUUUUACCAAGGUUGACCUCGGAUCAGGAAGGAAUACCCGCUGAACUUAAGCAUAUCAAUAAGCGGAGGA
rnacentral:misc_RNA from 1 species